UCAAACAGUACAUAUCGAAUUGAAAUUUCAUUCUGUCUGAUAAUGGGAUCCAUGAGAUUAAAAAAAUCAUGAAAGGUGUCUUGGGUUUUUUUUAGAAACCGAGGGCAUAGCUCCUUUGACUUCAAUGGAGUCAUGAUUUUACCCCAGGUGCACUUUUAUUUUUAGUUUCUGAUACACUUCAGGUAUGCAGCCCUUCUGAAUGACCCAAUUCAAUGGCUUUUGGCUUUUUCUGUUAAAGUGUGGACACAUGAGACACAUCAGUUUAACUGAUAUCGACUGAAAGGCUUGAACAUAUGGGCUGAAUCCUUCCCUCAGGGAGAUUUGUGGGCUUGCUGGAGUGAAACACAGCACAGAAUUUGACCGAAGAGGAUUGUUUGAUGUUGAGACAUUUUAUUCUUUCUCUAUUUAUAUUUUUCUAAAUAUCUGAUCUUGGUACUUUGGACAGAGGGCUGGACUGUUGGAUUGCAAGAGUUUGCCUCAAGGUGAAACAACACACCUGCUGUGCAAAUUUGUAAGUGUAACUUAACUGAAACUUCUUUAAAGUACAGAAAACUAACCAUUUGAUUUUUGAAACCUGGUGAUUUCAGCUCUCCAUGGGAAGCCACUAGUGGAUUGAGGGCACUUAGUCUUUGACUCAUUAUCUUCCCACCAUGACUUCUUAAACAAAGGCCCAUGGAGGACAAGGAAGUUGUAUAUGUUUCUGCCUGGGGACAGUGGGGUACAGCUGUUUAUUGAGAAGACUCCCUUCCUCAUUUCAUGCUAAGUCGUCUUGACCAAUAAACUGACCUACUCUGCAUCAUCCUGAUAUCUGAAGAAGAAGAUUCAGCUGCAGAUAAAUCGCAGUUGGGAUUUUCUCCUUUUUAAAAAGAAGAUAAUGAUAGUGCCAGAUAUUCCUGAAGAGCAUGAAAGUCCUUUUAUGGAGUCCUUUAUGAGGUGGUAGUAUCAUCUCAAACCAUGUCCAUACAUUUAUUCUGUAUAUUGUAUUAACAUCUCACUGGAUAAUGAAAUUCUUCCUGAAUCCCUUAAGGCCCUGUCCUUUCUUUAACUUAUAUUUGUGCCCACUUGCUCUUAUAAUUGAAGCUUAGUUUAAAUAACCUUAUAACAUUUAUCCUCUCUCAUUUCUUCAAAUUUUUGUACCCACCUUUUCUUUUCCCUUGAAGAGAGACCUGGCUCUGUUUAACCUUUUUAAAUAAAAAAGCACUUUG